UACGUAGGGCGCAAGCGUUGUCCGGAAUUAUUGGGCGUAAAGAGCUCGUAGGCGGCUUGUCACGUCGGAUGUGAAAGCCCGGGGCUUAACCCCGGGAGGCGGGCGGAUACUGUCGGGCUAGAGUCCGGAAGAGGCGAGUGGAAUUCCUGGUGUAGCGGUGAAAUGCGCAGAUAUCAGGAGGAACACCAAUGGCGAAGGCAGCUCGCUGGGACGGUACUGACGCUGAGACGCGAAAGCGUGGGGAGCAAACAGG
rnacentral:rRNA from 1 species